UACGUAGGGGGCAAGCGUUGUCCGGAUUUAUUGGGCGUAAAGAGCGUGUAGGCGGUUUGGUAGGUCCGCUGUGAAAACUCGAGCUCAACCUCGAGACGCCGGUGGAAACCAUCAGACUAGAGUCCGGAAGAGGAGAGUGGAAUUCCUGGUGUAGCGGUGAAAUGCGCAGAUAUCAGGAGGAACACCGGUGGCGAAGGCGGGUCUCUGGGCAACAACUGACGCUGAGGAGCGAAAGCGUGGGGAGCGAACAGG
rnacentral:rRNA from 1 species